ACAGAGGCCUCGAGCGUUAGGCGGAAUCACUGGGCUUAAAGCGUGUGUAGGUGGAUUCUUAAGUGCCUUGUGAAAUCCCACGGCUUAACCGUGGAACUGCUGGGCAUACUGGGAAUCUUGAGCCAUCUAGGGGCAACUGGAACAGACGGUGGAGCGGUGAAAUGCGUAGAUAUCGUCUGGAACGCCAAUGGUGAAGACAGGUUGCUGGGGAUGUGCUGACACUGAGACACGAAAGCCAGGGGAGCAAACGGGAUUAGAUACCCCGGUAGUCCUGGCCCUAAACGAUGUCCACUAGAUCGCAGCACUUUUGACGGUGUUGUGGUCGAAGUAAAAAUGUUAAGUGGACCGCCUGGGAAGUACGGUCGCAAGGCUA
rnacentral:rRNA from 1 species